AGCAAACUCAGGCGUGGCUGUGACAUGGCGUGGAGCAGACUCAGACGUGGCUGUGACAUGGUGUCGAGCAGACUCAGGCGUGGCUGUGACAUGGCAUGAAGCUGACUCAGGCGUGGGAGGCUCGAAAGCUGGGAUUCCCUCCAUUGAUUUAGAUUUGGUAACUAAAACAUGAACUCAAACACUGUGUUACCAGGCUCGUCAUUCCUUUAUUUGUGACACUCCAUGGCACCUUGACACGAGACCUUAUGAAAGAUAACAGACCGAGGUCCCAGUUUUUCAAAGAUGAAGGUGCGUUUAACAGGCCAUUUCGCUGAGAAAACCCAGAACCAGUUGCAGCAUUGUUGUUCAGCCGGGUCCAGACUUCAAAAGGUCCUGAUCCUCCAGCCAAACACAACAUUGACUCAGACCUCAAUAAAGCAUC